GACGAACGCUGGCGGCGUGCUUAACACAUGCAAGUCGAACGGAAAGGCCCUGCUUUUGUGGGGUGCUCGAGUGGCGAACGGGUGAGUAACACGUGAGUAACCUGCCCUUGACUUUGGGAUAACUUCAGGAAACUGGGGCUAAUACCGGAUAGGAGCUCCUGCUGCAUGGUGGGGGUUGGAAAGUUUCGGCGGUUGGGGAUGGACUCGCGGCUUAUCAGCUUGUUGGUGGGGUAGUGGCUUACCAAGGCUUUGACGGGUAGCCGGCCUGAGAGGGUGACCGGCCACAUUGGGACUAAGAUACGGACCAGACUCCUACGGGAGGCAGCAGUGGGGAAUAUUGCACAAUGGGCGGAAGCCUGAUGCAGCAACGCCGCGUGCGGGAUGACGGCCUUCGGGUUGUAAACCGCUUUCGCCUGUGACGACGCGUGAGUGACGGUAAUGGGUAAAGAAGCACCGGCUAACUACGUG
rnacentral:rRNA from 1 species